GUGAGUCAGUGUUUGGCCGGGCCAGGCCCUAGCCGCUUCCCAUCAGGGCGGGCGGGGCUGCGGCUCCCUCCGGCCAGGGGUGAGGGCCUGAGUCAGCGAGUCAGGUAACUGGAGGAGCAUGCGGGGCUUUCCCACCUGCACCCCAGGGCCGCUGAGCAGGCUGGGCCGCCUCCCACAGUGGAGAAGCCUCUGCACCCGGGACAGCUCAGGCGCUGCCUGCCUCCACGGCCAACCCCGGGCCCCCAGUCCCGAGAGACACGGAGAGCCUCUCCUCUGCCUGAAACACAUCGGGGGCCCAGAACCCUAGCCAAGGGCCUUUCCUGGGGGAAGACAAGAGCUGUGAAUCCAACGAGACCUGGGAAGCCAGGGAAAGCCUUCCUGAACAGGGCACACUUGAACCAAGGCCCGAAGGAGGGCCGGCCCGCAGACUCCUAUGUAGCAACGCAACCCCAUGACAUCAGGACUCUCAGGAACCGCACCGCACAGAAAGAGAAAGUAAGUUAUUCAUUCCUACCGGUGGGAAGUAACCAGAAUGUUGCUCACAGCGAUGGUGUUAAUUCCAGCUGGACUCCGAGGCCUGCUCAGGGCUCCGGACCGAGGCCCGCUCCGCCUUGUAACAGGAGGAACGUUCUGGAACUUCUGGGGACGGAAGUGGAGCAUCAGCCAGAGCCCUCCUCAGCCUGCGGCCCGGGAACAUGCUUAGAAGAUGACAAUUGGGCUCCCUUGGGCCGAAAUUCCACUCCCGUGGGGGCCUUGCCAAGGAAAACAAGCCCAAGAAGCAGGCAUUAAAGGUGAGCAUAUUUGACGAGUUUUAAGAUGACAAAUUAUUUACACAGGUGUGAGAACCAUCCCCUCGUGGCGGCUUUCUUCCUUUCUCUUCCUCCCCUUUCCAAAUUCUUUCCCCCAAGGGCGCUGACAGACGUGCCAAGGGAGGGGGCGGCUGGCGGUGAGGACCUGCCCACAGUGAGUCCUUAAAGCCCGGGCCCCAGGGGAGGAGGCGGAGCCGCAGGACAGCGGGUCGCACCAGGGGGCUCUGGUCACCCCUCCUCUACCUGCUUGCUCCCCACCCUGUCGCCUGGGGAGGCACGAGCCUGAGGUCCGGGCAUUUCAAGGCUCCCUGAGUCCUUCAGGAGGAUGGUGCCCAGGCCACCCCCCGGGAAAGCAGUUCCCAGGGUCACACAGCCAGCUCAUGCUCAACUUGGAGCUAACGAGGAGAGAGGUGGGGAAAGCAAUUGUUCUCGAGCACCUACUGUGUGCCUGACACUGAGCGGAGCCCUGGGAAUACACUGUGAAUGGAACAGCCCCAAACCCCUGCCUGGAGCCGACAAGGAAACAGGCCAGGUAAAUAAUGAGUUAUGUUCACAAGCGCUUCAUGAAAAUAAAACAGGGGGAGGGGGGCACUGUAGGUUGAGGAGGUGAUACGUGAGCCAAGAAAGAUGAGAAGGAGCCAGCCUUGGGGAGAUGUGAAGGAAGGACACGCCAGGCCGAGGGCACUUCACAUGCAAAGGCCCUGAGGUGGGAAGUGGGUCGUGUGUUCAAGGAACAGCAAGGAAGCUGGCAUGGCCAGAGCACGGGGAGGGAGAGGACAUAUGUCAGAGGUAAGCUGGGUGCUUUUCGCUCCAGACAAACCCAAGAAGUGGAUCUGAUCAUCCUUGUUUUACCAAGGAGGAAACUGAGGCACAGAGAAGGGCAGGGACUUGCCCAGGGUCACACAGCAGAAGCAGAUCCCAGUCUCUUCCAUCUGGCUCCCAAGCCCGUGCUCCUGUGCUUCUGAGAGGUGAGGGGGCAGGAACGAGGGGUGUCCAGGACCUGCCAGCUCCCCCGCCUGCAGCUCUGCCCUCAGGGUGCGGGGCAUCUGGGGGCCGGCCCUCUGCUUCCUGUGGGAAGAAAGCGGAGGCUGAUUUAGCUGCUGAGUCAUGGGGUACGACAGGCUUCCAGGCCACGGAGGGCUCUGCCUCAGUUUACCCACCUUGAAAAUGGGUUUAAUAACACGUCUGCCCGCAGUGCCGACUUCAGAGGGAGCCGGGAAGGUUAAUUACCGCCGGCAGCUCCGGAACCUGAUGAAAGCGGGGAGGUGGGCGUAGUGACCGCGCGGGUCAUGACUCCCAGCGAGCGGAGGCUGGAGAGGGGUCGCACCCGCUUCUGAUGCAACCCCAGGCCCGCUGCUUUCCGGAGGUGGGGGCCCAACAUGCCGUAAACAUCUGCGUUUGACCGCCGUCCCGGCCCCCAGACCCCCGCACCCGGGGCCCUGCGAGCCGCCCGGGCUCCAGUCGCAUCUCUGCCACUCCCCUGCCGGACGCCUGGGCCGCGCUCCUCCCCUCUCGGGCCUCAGUUUCUCCGUCUGCGCAGUGGGGCUGAGAGCCUGGCCCGUCCACAGGGCGGGCUGCGGUCAUUGCUCACACUCACGCAGGCGCUGUGCAGCGCCCCCAUUUCACCUCCUCAGCUGCCUGGUUUGAGGGCAAAAAGGGCACGUCGAGCCACAGCCGCCCACGCCAUCAGCCGCCCCGGCCUCCUUGCCCUGCUGGGAAAUGGGGCAGGACUUUGCUAGAAAUAAAUAAACGGGGUUUAAAACACCCCUGGGGCUAUUGAUUGGCCUCUUGUCAGCCCCCAUUGGCCCCCAGCACCGGGCUCCAACGCCCCUGCCCCUGGAAGCCCCGACCCUCCGCCCCCGGUCCUGGGUCGGGAUCUAGGCCCACCCCCGCCCCCGCGCACGCGCACACCGCGUCCUGGCUCUUGAUCCCGCUGUGCACGCGCAGCUGGUCCCCGGGGAUGCCUGGAUGCUUCUCCUCUUGCAGGGUCGGCUCAGCGCGGGACAGGUUCUGGGGCCGGAGCCCCUCCUCCCCGCUCUGACCCCUCCGCGAGGCAGCCGCGUGCCCGCCUCACAGGUGGGGACACUGAGGCUCUGAGCUGCAGACGCCAGAGCCCGGGGCCUGCAGGAGGCGGAGGCCCACGUGGGGUCUGACCCGGGCCCCUGGGCUCACCGGCGCCUCGGGGCCGGGCCCUCCGCGACGACGCCGGGAGCAGGUGCAGGUCAGGUCCAGGCCGGCUGCUGGCGGGCAGAGCGGGGUGCGGGGCUGGCGCGGGCUGGGGGCUGGUGCCCGCCCUCCGAGCCCCCCGAGCCCCCUGAGCCCCCUGCCCCGCACCCCCGCCGCGCUGGCCGGGCCGACCCCGAACCCGCCCCGGCUCCCCGCGCCCCGCCUCUGCGCCCGUGGUGCCCCACACCCUGCCCGCUGGCGUCGUCUCUUGGUUGAGGUCUCUGUUCUAAUGUCGCCUCCUCAGCGGCCCUCCCAGGCUCCCUCGGUCACACUCUCUGCUGUAUUCCCCUCGGAGCCCCCAUAACUCUGAAACGACCUCACAUUCCCCGCUCCACGGACACGGACCCGAGUCCUGAGAACAGAGGGGUUUCUGUUUUGUUGGCUGUCACAUCUCCAGGACCAGGUAGAGCCCCCGAACACAGUGGUGCUCAAUAAUUGUUUGUUGAUGUAAUAAAAAAGUCUUUAAAAGAUAAGAAUAACUGUAUGCUGAGGGGAGGGGUGGACAUCCCAGGGGACGGAUGUGUCACCGAAGGACUGAAGAACUUCCCCAGGUCUUAGUGUGGUCAGUGGCAUCGACGUGACAAUGGCAAUACUGGUUGCGGGCACUGGCUGUGCUGGGCGCCGUUGGCACACCGGCUCGCUCAGUCCUCGCAGAGGCCCCGUGAGGUCAGUCCCAUGCUGACCCGCAUUCUCCAGAUGAGGAAAGUGUGCUUUAGAGAGGUGAAGGGACUUGCUCCCGGUCAGCAGAGGCCACCAUGCCCUGCCCCCUGACCUCCAGAGCUUCAAGGUCCCCAAAAGAUGACACCGCCCCUGAUUCCCAGUGCAGCCCAGAGAGGUGGUGUGUCCUGCCUGAUGCCCCCAAGCUGGUCAGCCGCCCGGCGUGCGGCUGGCUGGCUCCCUGGCAGUCGCUCAGCGCGUCAGGAGGGCGGGCAGCCUGGCGGUUGGCCUGUCCUGGGACGCGGGCAGCCAGCAGUUUCUCUCCCCGGACUUUACUGUACAUGAUUCAGCGCCAGCCCCAGUUGUGAAAUCUGGGAAUCUUGUGGGCAAGGCCAGGCCCGGGGGAUGGCUGUCUGGGAAAGGGAGGCCGGGAAGGGGUUAAGGGGGGCGGCGGGCCCCCCUGGGGAGGCGCUGGGCCAGGCCAGCCGAGAGCACACCAGUAGCACCGGCCGGCCACCGCCUGCGGCCUGACUCUGACAUCACAGCUGCGUCAGUCCGGCCGGCCCCAGCCCCCCACUUCCUUCCCUCCCGCAGCCCGCGUCCCCAGCCACCUCCCCAGCCUCACUGUCCGCUCCUAAGAAACGGCAGCCUCAGUCUUCCCCGGGAGGGAGGGGUGGACCGGGAGAGGGCGAUGACACACGUUGCUGUGCAUACAGGAGGCGCUUAAGUGAGAGCAGUGAUGGAUUUGAGCCAAACUCCAGUCCUCUCAAGUGGAAUGAGCCGCACAUGAGCCAGGUCACAGAGGGGAAACAAGAAGGCGUUCCUGGCAGAGGGAACAGCAUGGGCAGGGGAGAGACAGCUCACGGAGCAGCGAGAGAGAAUAUCUAGGGGGCUGGGGUGGAGAGAGGGAGGGGCUGGGGUGAGGGCAUGGGGACCUUGAAUGUCAUGCCAGGGAGUCCGGGCUUUGUCCAGGGGCAUAGGGGGGACGUGAAGGCUUUAGAGCAGGCCGGAGAGGGUCACUGACACGGGCCAACUGCUGCAGUCCCCUCCCGCUGUCUUGUCUGCUUCCGUCCCAGCCUCCACAGCCCCUUCUCCACUCACAGCCAGAGGGAUCCUGUGAAAACCCAAGUCCGACCGAGU
rnacentral:lncRNA from 1 species